ACGUAGGGGGCAAGCGUUAUCCGGAUUUACUGGGUGUAAAGGGAGCGUAGACGGACUGGCAAGUCUGAUGUGAAAGGCGGAGGCUCAACCCCUGGACUGCAUUGGAAACUGUUAGUCUUGAGUGCCGGAGAGGUAAGCGGAAUUCCUAGUGUAGCGGUGAAAUGCGUAGAUAUUAGGAGGAACACCAGUGGCGAAGGCGGCUUACUGGACGGUAACUGACGUUGAGGCUCGAAAGCGUGGGGAGCAAACAG
rnacentral:rRNA from 1 species